CAAAGUAUUAUCAGGAAACAAAAAAGUUCUGACUAAAUUGAGAUAUAUUCAUAGAUGGGAAGAUGUAAUAUCAGAAAAACGUCAAUUCUCUCCAAAUUAAUCUCUAAAUUAAGUGCUAUGCCUAAUGAUUUCCCUUGGAACUUGACAAGCUUAACCCAAAAUUCGUGUGAAAAAGCAAAAAGCCCAGAAUAGUUGAGGCAACUUUAAAGAAAAAGAAUAAUGUGAGGAACAUACCCCCAUUGAUAUCAAGAACAAUUAUAAAGCCAUAGUUGCUCUCAAGUCUAGGAUAGUGCCUGAGACAGACAGUUCUCAAUGAAUAUUUGCUAGGUAGAUUGAUGAUGGAUGGAUGAAUGGACUCUAAUGCGUGGGGAACACGCAGAUAUGCAGGGUAACUCUGGAUCGUACCAGACCUUAUGUUACUUCUUGUCUGGGGACAGGAUUAACUCUCAAACCAGUGGGGUAAGGAGUGAGCUGAACCUGAAGAUGAGGGUGAUUCAGAGGGCAAGGACCAGGGAAGUUUGGCUCUGAGAAAGGGCAGUGCAGAGAGCUGACUAAUUUGUUUCCUUUGUCUACAGAUACUUUGGCACCCUUAAGCAAAUUCAUACAAUUUGAGUAUGAGGAUUUGGAAAUGAAAGUGGCAUUCUAUAGUUGAAAGAAGUUUUGUCAUCAGUGAUUUGGGUUCAAAUCCUGACUCUGAGUAGCAGUGUAACUCUGGGCAGCUCUAUCAAGAUUUUGGACAGAGUAUGUCAGAAUCAUGUCUAUAAGAUUCAGUGUGGACUAAUGCAAAGUGAGCCUGGACUGGAAGUCAGAAGAACUGGAUACAAGUUCUAAUGUUAUCUGAGAGCAGGCCUCUGUUAAUAGGUCUUGUUACCGUGGCAGAGACAACGGGAAAAUAUAGGCUAAUCAGAAGCAUUGUGCACAACAAUGAAACCUUGCAACUCUAUGUAUAUUGACGUGUGUGGGGGGGGGGGGGGCAUAUCAGGUUACUCAAGAUGGCUAAAACUGACUGAAUCAGUAACCUCUAAUCUGUAAAAAACAGCAGACUCCCUAUAAUUCCUUAAAAUAAAUGUGGGUUUGAGAGACUCUCCCUGAGAUAAAUAAUACCCUGACCAGACUUCACAGAUCUAACACUAUGCUGGUAAUUCUGUGUUGACAUAUCUUGAAGAAAUGUUCAUUAGGUCCGAGAAGCAAAGGCAGGGAAGAGGUCCCUGGAGUUUACUAGCUUGUGCCAGAUCAUCAGGUAAAGAUAGGAAAAUUAUUUGGCUGAAAAGAUUUUUGAAAAAGGGACAGUGAAAUGCUCUUGAGGUAAAUCCAGGUAAUGAAAAGAUCAGGAAAAAUUGACCCUGAAGAAAAAGAAUUAAGGCGAUAUGGCGACUUCUGGAAAAGAUAAAGCUACCAAAUACCUCUGUGUGGAGAUGGCUACCAAGAACAUAGGCAUUGAAUGGUGGCAUCUGAGUGAGUGGCCCACUUUGUUGGAGUUGCCCUCAGGUGAGGUAAGUUCAUGUCUUGUCUCUCUCCUUGAUCUUUAUAUAAUCCCCUGGCGCUUUACACUGACUCCACGACUUCCUAAUUGUGGCUUCUUGGCAAGUUCCUUAGCCUCUCUAAGCUAGCCUCAGUUUCCUCAUCUGUAAAGCACAGAUCUUUUAUCUGAUGUUUAAGGUUGUUUUAAGGAUCAAGUGAAGUAAUGUGUAAGAAAGUUUCACUGUCAGUUCCUUGAAAAGCUCUCCCAUGGUAAGGCGCUCUUAAGAUUGAUGGGCAGAGCAUAAUGUCGUUUCACUGCUAGCAUCUAGCAGCAAUAACACUAGCACUUUGAGUCCUGUUCUUACUUGUGAUCCUUAUUUUUAAUCGUUUGAAUUCUACCUAUUGAUGAAGAACAAAUGGAGCAAGCUGUGGGCAUGAGGAAGCCCUUUAUAAAUAGUUGUGAUGCUAAUAAUGCCCCAGUUCUUGCACAGGAUGGGUAUCCCAACAAGCCUCCCUAGUACAGAGGAUAAUUUCAGAAGCCCAAGGAGAAGCCUGAAUACUCCUCACAAAGAGGCAAGUGUGUAAGCAACCAGUUCCUUCUUGUUUUUCUUUAACAGUAUUAUUGAAGUAUAUUUCCCAUACCAUACAAUUCACCCAUUUGAAGCGUAAAAUUCAAUGAUUUGUAGUAUAUUUACAGAGUUGUGCCACCAUCAGCACAAUCAAUUUUAGAAAUUCCAAACAGAAAUUCUGUACCCAUUGGCAGCCACUCUUCAUUUCCCUCUGACGCACCCAGCCCUAGGCAAUGAUUAACCUAC